rnacentral:rRNA from 1 species
AUUGAACGCUGGCGGCAGGCCUAACACAUGCAAGUCGAACGGUAACAGGAAGACGCUUGCUUCUUUGCUGACGAGUGGCGGACGGGUGAGUAAUGUCUGGGAAACUGCCUGAUGGAGGGGGAUAACUACUGGAAACGGUAGCUAAUACCGCAUAACGUCGCAAGACCAAAGAGGGGGACCUUCGGGCCUCUUGCCAUCGGAUGUGCCCAGAUGGGAUUAGCUAGUAGGUGGGUAACGGCUCACCUAGGCGACGAUCCCUAGCUGGUCUGAGAGGAUGACCAGCCACACGGGAACUGAGACACGGUCCAGACUCCUACGGGAGGCAGCAGUGGGGAAUAUUGCACGAUGGGCGCAAGCCUGAUGCAGCCAUGCCGCGUGUAUGAAGAAGGCCUUCGGGUUGUAAAGUACUUUCAGCGGGGAGGAAGGGAGUAAAGUUAAUACCUUUGCUCAUUGACGUUACCCGCAGAAGAAGCACCGGCUAACUCCGUG